rnacentral:rRNA from 1 species
UACGUAGGGUGCGAGCGUUAAUCGGAAUUACUGGGCGUAAAGUGUGCGCAGGCGGCAGAGCAAGUCGAGUGUGAAAGCCCCGGGCUUAACUUGGGAAUUGCGCUCGAAACUACUUUGCUGGAGUGUGGCAGAGGAAGGUGGAAUUCCACGUGUAGCGGUGAAAUGCGUAGAUAUCAGGAGGAAUACCGAUGGCGAAGGCAGGUCUCUGGGCUGACACUGACGCUCAUGCACGAAAGCGUGGGGAGCAAACAGG